rnacentral:lncRNA from 1 species
CGAAAUAAGCAGUCGCUCCCCCAGCAGCUCCUGUAAGCUGGAGCCUACCGGUGCCUCAGCCGACAGGGGCCAGAGCAGAGGGCUUUCAAUACAAGUGACCAUCCCCCCCGCACACGCGCACAUACUCAAAAC